rnacentral:lncRNA from 1 species
UACAAACAAAAAAGAUUAUAAUGAUUAUAACUAUGAAUAUAUUUUUUCUGAUACUUUUAUGUUAUUUCAUUCUUAUUUAUUAUAUACAAAUAGUUAUAAUUUAAAUAGUGAAAAAGGGUUAAUAAAUAAUAAAAAAAAACAAAGAAAAACAUUUGAACAUAUUAAUAAAUUAUAUAGUAAUAUAAGAAAUCAUAAUAAAAAUUUAACCAUAAAUGAAACGAAUCCAUAUUUAUCUAUUUAUGUGUUAAAUUUGAUUAGUAAUUUAGAGUAUAAAAUUGUUAACAGAACAAAUCCUUACCCACCUAGUGAUAGUGUUAGAACAUUUGAUAACGCUAGAACUGGUAAGAACAACAGGUUGGAUAAUAAAUGGAAAAUACGAUUUAUAAAAAAUACCCAAUACAAAGGAAAAAAUAGUUAUUUAUUAAAAAAUAUUUUAAAGUUAUAUCAUAAUGAGUUAAUGGAACAAAAAAAGAAACACACGGGUAGUGGUAGUGUUAGAAAUUGUAGCGGUAGUGGUAGAGGUAAUGGUAGUGGUAGUGGUAAUGGUAGUGGUAGUGGUAGUGGUAGUGGUAACGAUAAUAAUAAUAGUAAUAAUAAUGACAAUAAUAAUGACAAUAAUAAUGACAAUAAUAACAACCAAAACAAUGACAAUAACAAUAAAAAUAAAAAAAACGCUGAUGGAGAAAAUGAAGACGAUGAUUCAAUAUAUUCUAAUACCUGCAUAUAUAAAUUCAUUUCAUCAAAAAAAAAAAAAUGGCUAAUAGACCCAAAUAUAAGUUUUUAUUCCUGUUUUAACGUUGAAGAUGGUUUUACAAGAAUAAAUAUAGACAAUAUUAUUAACAGUAUGUUUAAUGAUGAUAAAAAAAGAAUAUUUGAGUUAGGUGAUAAUCAGAAAUAUAAAUAUGAUAAUACACAUAGUGAUAGUAAUAAUGACCAUAGUAAUAGCAAUAAUAGUGGUAGUGAAAAUGAAAAUUAUGACAAGAACUAUUAUGGUAGAAACGACAGUAGUUACCAUAGUAUAUAUAAUAGUAACCACACAAAGAAUUAUGCAAGUAAUUACAAUAAUAAUAUUAAUACUAAUAAUGUUAGCAUAGUAUAUAACAACUGUACUACUUGUGAUAGCAGUAACAGUAACAGUAACAGCAGAAGCAACAGUAACAACAACAGUAACGUCAAAAACAAUAAAGAUAGCAAGAGCAGUAAACAUUUAAGCGAUAACAAACAAUUCGAAGAAAAAAGUAAUAAUGAUAUAAACAGCGAAUUGUUAACAAAAACAUUGGAACAUGAAUUUUUUUAUAAAAGCGAAAUAGCUGCCCACAACCACAGUGCUAGUACUAUAUAUAAAGAUGUUAACUCCA